GAUCACUUCCGGGGCGCUUGGGAGCGGGGCGGGGCGGCUGGGGAGCGACUUCCUGUCCGUGGGCUGAGAGGAGGGUGAUCAUGGGCCCGGGCAGGAGAACAAUGGCUUGGAGGGCGCAGGCUGCCCGGUCUCCGCCCCCUGCAUGGUACUGACCUAAGGGCCAACAUACAAAGUCGAGUGAGAGACAGAGCAUGUCCUCAAGGAGCAGAUUGUCCAAUGGGGAAGAGAGAUUAUGACACUGGAUGUGAACUCAAAUCCCCUUAACUCAGAAACUUACUGUUCAAACCUCCAGAAAAACGCUGGACAAAAUCCUCAUCAAUAAAAAGAGAAUAAUUGAACAUGAUGCUUGGAAAUGUUCCCAGCAAUGUCCUUAACCUUGGAAAAAAAAUUCCUAGUCUAUAAUGUUUCUACUCACUUAUCCACAGGAGUAGAAUUGAAGGAAGAGGAGUUUGGACACAGAAAGAGACACCCCAACACAUGAGCACACAAAGAGAUGACCACAUGAAGACACAAGAAGGCAGCCAUCUGUAAGUCAAGGAGGGAGGCCUCAGAAGGAACCAAGCCUGCCAACACUUUCAUCUUGGACUUCCCAGCCUCUAGAACGGUGAGAAAAUAAAUGUCUGUUGUUUAAGCCACCCAGCCACCCAGUCUGUGGUUUUUGUUAUGACAGCCCUAGCAAACUAAUACAGUAGGUAAUCUCAGGAAAUGUGGUAGAGAAGUGGGAAAGGAAGAAAGGGAAAAAAGGGCAGCCAAGGUAAGAUGUUAUUACAGGUCAAGUGUCCCUAAUCUGAAAAUCUGAAAUCCAAAAUUCUCCAAAAUCUCAAAGUUUUUCAGUGCCAAUAUGAUGCCACAGGUGGAAAGUUCCAGACCUGACCUCAUGUGAUGGGUGGCAGUCAAAAUUUUGUUUCAUGCACAAAAUUAUUUAAAAUAGUGUAUAAAAUGGCCUUAAAGCUAUAUGUAUAAGGCAUAUAUGAAACAUAAAUGAAUGUCAUGUUUAGACUUGGGUCCUACAUAAUGAGAUAUCUUUGUCUCAUUAUGUUUAUGCAAAUAUCCCUAAAUUAAAAAAAAAUCUGAAUUCUGAAUUUCUGGUCCUAAGCAUUUUGGAUAAGUGAUACUCAACAGCAUUGGAGUCAGGCAGAUAUGGGUUUAUCCUCUUAGCUCUUUAGUUGUAAAAUAGGAAUAAUACUGCCACUUUAUGAGAAUAAAAUAACGUAGUCCAUAUAAAACUCUUAGCCAUUAUCUGACAUAUCUUAAGUACUCAAUAAGCAUCUUAAAAAAAUCAUUUAAUUUCAUGACAACUCUAAGAUUACAGUAAAUGAUUAUUUGUUUUAAAAUAUCUCCAUUAAUUAAAAAGAUUACCAUUUAA